UACGGAGGGUGCAAGCGUUAAUCGGAAUUACUGGGCGUAAAGCGCACGCAGGCGGUCUGUCAAGUCGGAUGUGAAAUCCCCGGGCUCAACCUGGGAACUGCAUUCGAAACUGGCAGGCUAGAGUCUUGUAGAGGGGGGUAGAAUUCCAGGUGUAGCGGUGAAAUGCGUAGAGAUCUGGAGGAAUACCGGUGGCGAAGGCGGCCCCCUGGACAAAGACUGACGCUCAGGUGCGAAAGCGUGGGGAGCAAACAGGAGUAGUUACCCUGGUAGUCCACGCCGUAAACGAUGUCGAUUUGGAGGUUGUGGCCUUGAGGCGUGGCUGCCGGAGCUAACGCGUUAAAUCGACCGCCUGGGGAGUACGGCCGCAAGGUUAAA
rnacentral:rRNA from 1 species